GGCUCGAGCACUUUUGCCCCUCUGCUUGCGCCCCGUGCUGCUGUUUGGCGCUCUGCCUCGCGGGAGACGACUCGAGCCCCUACGCCGCGUGCGGACCACUGCCCCGGAGCGGAACGCGUGUACGACCCGAGAGCGCAACAUGUCUGGAGCGCGUGGGGCAGAUGCCGUCCACCUCACCUGCUUCUUCCGGACACCAAGCGGGGACCAUGCCGGCGGACAGAUGUGGCGCCUCACGUGGAUUGUAUUUGUUUCCCUGUUUAUUUACGGCACAUCAGCACAAGGUGGAGUGGCUCGGUGACACCUCUGUGACAGCCCCUCCUCCACACCUGCACCCCUGAUGCCCAUCCAUCACCCCCGCAUCGUUUACACUUUAUGCAAACAAGG
ensembl:lncRNA